rnacentral:rRNA from 1 species
AUACGGUGGAUGCCUUGGCAGUUAGAGGCGAUGAAGGACGUGUAAGUCUGCGAAAAGCGUUGGUGAGCUGACAAAAAGCGUUAUAACCAACGAUGUCCGAAUGGGGAAACCCGGCACUUCGGUGUCAUCUGCAACUGAAUACAUAGGUUGCAGAAGCGAACGAGGGGAACUGAAACAUCUAAGUACCCUUAGGAAGAGAAAUCAAUUGAGAUUGCCUUAGUAGCGGCGAGCGAACGGGUAACAGCCGAUGGUUUAUGUUGUAGUGGAACGGUCUGGAAAGUCCGGCGAUACAGGGUGAUAGCCCCGUACACGAAGCAACAUUUAUCACAUAUUAAGUAGGUCGGGACACGUGUUAUCCUGACUGAAGAUGGGGGGACCAUCCUCCAAGGCUAAAUACUCCUAACUGACCGAUAGUGAACCAGUACCGUGAGGGAAAGGCGAAAAGAACCCCGGCGAGGGGAGUGAAAUAGAACCUGAAACCGUAUACGUACAAGCAGUGGAAGCCGACUUGUUCGGUGACUGCGUACCUUUUGUAUAAUGGGUCAGCGACUUAUAUUCUGUAGCGAGGUUAACCGUAUAGGGGAGCCGUAGCGAAAGCGAGUCUUAACUGGGCGUUAAGUUGCAGGGUAUAGACCCGAAACCCGGUGAUCUAGCCAUGGGCAGGUUGAAGGUUGAGUAACAUCAACUGGAGGACCGAACCCACUAACUUUGAA